AGCUGUUUUUGGCGCUCGCCGCAGUUGCAGUUGCAGUUGUUAUUGUUCGGUUUGCGGUUUCGGACCAGCCGCGCACAGUAGCGCCAAAGUAAUGAAGUUGUCUGUGGAUAUGUCCGUCUGGAGUUGGAUCGGUCGGUUUGGGAUCGGCGAAACGAGUACGAAAGUCCUGCUGUGUGUCUACGUCUGCGCAGCGAAAAUAGAUGUGGAUUGAUGGCGGUGCACAGAGAAUAAAUACUAACAAGAUUGGCUGCCUGGCAAGCGAACAUCAGACAACUAUAUUAACCAGGGAAUCGAACGAAAGAAAACGAAACGAAUGAAAUGAAAUCGAAACGACCGGCGAAGAAGACAUCGGCGACGAAAAAAACGCGAAAAAUAUUGCGAGAGAUAUUGGCAAUAAAAUUUAUUGAAAUCUGUCCCGGCGACUUAAUGGCCGCAUUAAACAAAAGCCGCUGCUCUUCGGAUUUACAGUCGAACUUCUACAUCAUGGUUUUUAGUUAAGUGUCUCAAUAUUCUAAUGACAAGAAUUGUACAAUAUAACAAUUUCAAAUUUUAAAAAGAUUGUAAAUUUACUUAAUACUUCAAAUCUUUUGCUUAAUUUAAAGU
ensembl:ncRNA lncRNA:CR44281 long non-coding RNA:CR44281